CAUGUACUCCCCCGUUUCAAAAAAAUUGUCUUAGAUUUGUUUAGAUAUGAAUGUAUCUAGUUAAGUUUUAGUAUUUAGAUACAUCCAUUUCUAGGCAAACCUAAGACAAUUUUUUUGAGACGGAGGUAGUAUGUG
rnacentral:pre_miRNA from 1 species